CCAUAAGGGUUGUAGUUUCUUUUUCAAUGAUUUAAGUGAUCUAAAGCAGCUGUGGACACAGUGUUGUCGUGGUCUAAAAUGUUAUCUCAAACACAAUUCAAACUCAUAAUCCGAUCAUAUUGAUUUAAAUGCCUUAUAAUCUCCACACAACAGAUGAAAAUUCCCAACAGCACUCACCACAUUGAUACUAAUAAAUAACUGCUAUUCAAUUUUUAAACCCCUUUGCCAGUGUAAUAAUCAGUUCAGGUAAAAAGUUUCCUAGUUUGCACAGACUAGAUAACUUACCUAAUCUGCACACCUGGUGGUGCCAUGUGGAAGGGCGAUGACUUUGACCAUUGGAUAUCUAGGAAAUUAUCUGGAUUAGCCACAUGUCACUCCUAAUUUCAGACUCAAAUUCU